AUUGAACGCUGGCGGCAUGCCUUACACAUGCAAGUCGAACGGUAACAGGUCUUCGGAUGCUGACGAGUGGCGGACGGGUGAGUAAUACAUCGGAACGUGCCCAGACGUGGGGGAUAACGAGGCGAAAGCUUUGCUAAUACCGCAUACGAUCUAAGGAUGAAAGCAGGGGACCGCAAGGCCUUGCGCGUUUGGAGCGGCCGAUGGCAGAUUAGGUAGUUGGUGGGAUAAAAGCUUACCAAGCCGACGAUCUGUAGCUGGUCUGAGAGGACGACCAGCCACACUGGGACUGGGACACGGCCCAGACUCCUACGGGAGGCAGCAGUGGGGAAUUUUGGACAAUGGGCGAAAGCCUGAUCCAGCAAUGCCGCGUGCAGGAUGAAGGCCUUCGGGUUGUAAACUGCUUUUGUACGGAACGAAAAGGCUCUGGCUAAUACCUGGGGCACAUGACGGUACCGUAAGAAUAAGCACCGGCUAACUACGUG
rnacentral:rRNA from 1 species